UACAAGCAAGAACAAUGAAAUUAUAAACAUGGUACCAGAUUACGUAGUAUUUGACGACGUACUUCACGACGUAGCUAUCGAAGGCAAGAACUACAGCAGAAGAAAACCUUUAAACACAACUCAUGACGACACUCUAGAACACGAUUAUAUGAAACUUGACGAUUUAAAUAUAACAGUUGAAGAUUUUAGAGAAAUGAGAGGAGUUAACCAAUUCAUAAACAUCCUAAAUGCCAUAGAAGAAGGCAAAGAAUCUACUACAACAGAGGCUGUCACCAAAGUUGUGAUAGAUCUGCUUGAGUUAGCCAGGAAAAGAAUAGGGACAACAGGGAACGAUCUAAAUGAGACAGAUAUCAAAAUGAAUCUACUAAACGAUACAGGGUUUGAAAACAAUGAUAGUGUAUAUGAAUUCAAUGCAAUUAAUCUUAUGAAACGAGAUAUUCAACAAGUCACGGAAAAUAAUGUUAACGUUACUGUUACUGAGAAAAUUAAUAUCACUAAUAGUAGUAUAGAACUAAAAGAUAACGUUUAUCUCCCCUUAACUUCUAUUAUACAAGAAAAGCAAAAGGAGUUGGAAGACUUGCUACACGUUAGAGAAAAACUGAUUGAAAUUUUGAACCUUGGCCCUAACAAUGAUUAUUUAGUUUUAAACAAAAGUGAAAAAGCUGAGAAUGGCAGCAAUUCGUACAUUUCCUUUUACAAUGUACAGAUAGUGCCUCAAACUGAUAACAUUGCAACAAGAGCCGGAAUCGACCUUUUAGAUAACUAUUUAAAGAAACUCAGAAAAGAUAUCUAUGUCGUGAUAAAAGACCUUAUAAGUAUUCAAACAAUAACCGGCAAAGAAGAUUUUCCUAAAGAUUUAAAAGUAUUGACACAUGCUAUAAAACAUUUUAUGCGUAACCACACGAAGACUCACAAGAAACAUAAGCUUAGAUCUUUAGAUGAUGAUUAUGAUCUAAGAAGACAUAGUAACGCCUACACGUCUAAAAACUUUGCUAAAAACUAUUUGAUAAAUAUAUUACUACUUAUAGAUCGGAAUAUGCCUCAAAGCAAUGCUCUAGCUCCGCUCUCAAUAAAAACAAGAAAGAUAAUAAAGAGAGUGAUAAAAAAUAACAAGCUGAAAGAUUUAUCUGUCUUAGGAUUUAGAGUUCACGAUUCUAAUUACAAUUUAACUAAUGACUUGAAGAACAUUGGUUCCAAAUGGAAGGAGAUGACGAUAAAGAUUUCUAACAGCUCACCUUGGGAUCGACUACAUCACAUGAAGUUGUUGCAGUUUGUCUUGGAUUCGGACAUCAACAAGAUGAGAGACGCACUUGCGUUGAUCGACUUUGCUCACAGCAGACGUAUGAUUGCAUUCCCAGACCAACUUAGCGAUCACGAAAUAUUAAGAAUCAACAACGACUUGAAAUCAAUACAUGGCAAAAUCAAUGAAAUUAUCAAAUUGAGAUCCUUUAAUAACAGAGACAAUGGAAUUGUUAAGGUUUUCACAGUCACCAAACAGAACAAAAAGGAAACCUUUUUGAAACACAUAAGAGAUUUACUGAAAAAUUCUAAGAGAGACAUCAUAAAUCUAUUACACAAAAAAGUACCUAAAUCAGAAAUAGUUAAGCAACUUGCAAAGAAAAAACUAAACGAAAUGACAAAGAAGAAACUUAUGGAAUAUGAACGUGUGAUGCAGAAGUGGCAGAAUAAUCUAGAUAUUACUAGAAAAAGAAGAUCAGUGUUUGGUUUAGAGAACUUAGGAACUCGCAUAAAAAAUAUCUUGCCGAAAUACCUGAGAGGCAAGGUUAGUUCUGGUAUGAACUCUACCAAACACAAAGCUAAAUCUAAUCAGAGAGGUGGAAGAGCAAAUUCAGCAAAGAGGAAAAGUAAAAAAUCUAAUAAGAAAAACAAAACAAUGUCGGUUGCUACAACGAUGAAGACAGAUAACAAUAUCCGAAAGACUCAAUAGAUGAUCUUUCUUUAUUCUUAGA